rnacentral:rRNA from 1 species
UACGAAGGGGGCUAGCGUUGCUCGGAAUUACUGGGCGUAAAGGGCGCGUAGGCGGACAGUUUAGUCAGAGGUAAAAGCCCAGGGCUCAACCUUGGAACUGCCUUUGAUACUGGCUGUCUUGAGUUCGGGAGAGGUGAGUGGAAUGCCGAGUGUAGAGGUGAAAUUCGUAGAUAUCGGGAAGAACACCAGUGGCGAAGGCGGCUCACUGGACCGGUAUUGACGCUGAGGUGCGAAAGCGUGGGGAGCAAACAGG